rnacentral:rRNA from 1 species
UGAAGGUCAGGCUGAAGACCUUACCCGAUUAGCUGAGAGGUGGUGCAUGGCCGUCGUCAGUUCGUACUGUGAAGCAUCCGUGUUAAGUCAGGCAACGAGCGAGACCCACGUCCACAGUUGCCAGCAUACCCCUCCGGGGUGAUGGGUACACUGUGGAGACCGCCGCUGCUAAAGCGGAGGAAGGAAUGGGCAACGGUAGGUCAGUAUGCCCCGAAUCUCCCGGGCUACACGCGGGCUACAAUGGUUGGUACAAUGGGCAUCUACCCCGAAAGGGGAAGGAAAUCUCUUAAAGCCAAUCGUAGUUCGGAUUGAGGGCUGCAACUCGCCCUCAUGAAGCUGGAAUCCGUAGUAAUCGCGUUUCAACAGAACGCGGUGAAUACGUCCCUGCUCCUU